rnacentral:rRNA from 1 species
CCUACGGGAGGCAGCGGUGAGGAAUAUUGGUCAAUGGGCGCGAGCCUGAACCAGCCAAGUAGCGUGAAGGAUGACUGCCCUACGGGUUGUAAACUUCUUUUAUAAAGGAAUAAAGUGAGGCACGUGUGCCUUUUUGUAUGUACUUUAUGAAUAAGGAUCGGCUAACUCCGUGCCAGCAGCCGCGGUAAUACGGAGGAUCCGAGCGUUAUCCGGAUUUGUUGGGUUUAAAGGGAGCGUAGAUGGGUUGUUAAGUUAGUUGUGAAAGUUUGCGGCUCAACCGUAAAAUUGCAAUUGAUACUGGCAGCCUUGAGUACAGUUGAGGUAGGCGGAAUUCGUGGUGUAGCGGUGAAAUGCGUAGAUAUCACGAAGAACACCGAUGGCGAAGGCAGCCUACUAAACUGCCACUGACAUUGAUGCUCGAAAGUGUGGGUAUCAAACAGGAUUAGAUACCCGGGUAGUC